ACACUGAUGGUGAAACGGUAUCAUGCUUGCCUUCCACUCUACUACGGCAGUCGGCGUGUGUGUGUGCGUCAGCAAGCGGCGCGGGUUCGACUCCCGCUCAGUGUA